rnacentral:rRNA from 1 species
UACGGGGGGGGCAAGCGUUGUUCGGAUUUACUGGGCGUAAAGGGCGCGUAGGCGGCCACUGCAAGUCAGUUGUGAAAUCUCCGGGCUUAACCCGGAAAGGUCAACUGAUACUGCAGGGCUAGAGUGCAGAAGGGGCAACUGGAAUUCUCGGUGUAGCGGUGAAAUGCGUAGAUAUCGAGAGGAACACCUGCGGCGAAGGCGGGUUGCUGGGCUGACACUGACGCUGAGGCGCGAAAGCCAGGGGAGCGAACGGG